GAUGAACGCUGGCGGCGUGCUUAACACAUGCAAGUCGAACGGAAAGGCCCAAGCUUGCUUGGGUACUCGAGUGGCGAACGGGUGAGUAACACGUGGGUGAUCUGCCCUGCACUUCGGGAUAAGCCUGGGAAACUGGGUCUAAUACCGGAUAGGACGAUGGUUUGGAUGCCAUUGUGGAAAGUUUUUUCGGUGUGGGAUGAGCUCGCGGCCUAUCAGCUUGUUGGUGGGGUAAUGGCCUACCAAGGCGUCGACGGGUAGCCGGCCUGAGAGGGUGUACGGCCACAUUGGGACUGAGAUACGGCCCAGACUCCUACGGGAGGCAGCAGUGGGGAAUAUUGCACAAUGGGAGCAAGCCUGAUGCAGCGACGCCGCGUGGGGGAUGACGGCCUUCGGGUGGUAAACUCCUUUCGCUAGGGACGAAGCGUUUUUGUGGCGGUACCUGGAGAAGAAGCACCGGCUAACUACGUG
rnacentral:rRNA from 1 species